rnacentral:rRNA from 1 species
GAUGAACGCUAGCGGCAGGCCUAACACAUGCAAGUCGAGGGGCAUCAUGGCGUAGCAAUACGCUGAUGGCGACCGGCGCACGGGUGCGUAACGCGUAUGGAACCUACCCACCGCAGGGGGAUAACCCGCCGAAAGGCGGACUAAUACCCCAUGGUUCCCCGACCCUGCCUGGGGGUUGGGGGUAAAGCCUACGGGCGGCGGUGGAUGGCCCUGCGUGCCAUUAGCUGGCUGGUGGGGUAACGGCCCACCAAGCCUGCGAUCAGUAACUGGUGUGAGAGCACGACCAGUCACACGGGCACUGAGACACGGGCCCGACUCCUACGGGAGGCAGCAGUAAGGAAUAUUGGUCAAUGGACGAAAGUCUGAACCAGCCAUGCCGCGUGAAGGAUUAAGGCCCUCUGGGUUGUAAACUUCUUUUAUCUGGGACGAAAAAAGGGCUUUCUAGCUCACUUGACGGUACCAGAGGAAUAAGCACCGGCUAACUCCGUG